ACUCCUACGGGAGGCAGCAGUAGGGAAUCUUCCACAAUGGACGCAAGUCUGAUGGAGCAACGCCGCGUGAGUGAAGAAGGGUUUCGGCUCGUAAAGCUCUGUUGUUAAAGAAGAACGUGGGUGAAAGUAACUGUUCACCCAGUGACGGUAUUUAACCAGAAAGCCACGGCUAACUACGUGCCAGCAGCCGCGGUAAUACGUAGGUGGCAAGCGUUAUCCGGAUUUAUUGGGCGUAAAGCGAGCGCAGGCGGUCUUUAAGUCUAAUGUGAAAGCCUUCGGCUCAACCGAAGAAGUGCAUUGGAAACUGGGAGACUUGAGUGCAGAAGAGGACAGUGGAACUCCAUGUGUAGCGGUGAAAUGCGUAGAUAUAUGGAAGAACACCAGUGGCGAAGGCGGCUGUCUGGUCUGUAACUGACGCUGAGGCUCGAAAGCAUGGGUAGCGAACAGGAUUAGAUACCCUGGUAGGAUAGCG
rnacentral:rRNA from 1 species